rnacentral:rRNA from 1 species
GACGAACGCUGGCGGCGUGCCUUAACACAUGCAAGUCGAGCGGUAAGGCCCUUUCGGGGGUACACGAGCGGCGAACGGGUGAGUAACACGUGGGUGACCUGCCCUCAGCUCUGGGAUAAGCCUGGGAAACUGGGUCUAAUACUGGAUAUGACUCCACGGUGCAUGUCGUGGGGUGGAAAGCCUUGUGCGGCUGAGGAUGGGCCCGCGGCCUAUCAGCUUGUUGGUGGGGUGAUGGCCUACCAAGGCGACGACGGUAGCCGGCCUGAGAGGGCGACCGGCCACACUGGGACUGAGACACGGCCCAGACUCCUACGGGAGGCAGCAGUGGGGAAUCUUGCGCAAUGGGCGAAAGCCUGACGCAGCGACGCCGCGUGAGGGAUGACGGCCUCGGUUGUAACGU